rnacentral:rRNA from 1 species
UACCAGCACCCCGAGUGGUCGGGACGUUUAUUGGGCCUAAAGCAUCCGUAGCCGGUUCUACAAGUCUUCCGUUAAAUCCACCUGCUUAACAGAUGGGCUGCGGAAGAUACUAUGGAGCUAGGAGGCGGGAGAGGCAAGCGGUACUUUAUGGGUAGGGGUAAAAUCCUUUGAUCCAUAGAAGACCACCAGUGGCGAAGGCGGCUUGCCAGAACGCGCUCGACGGUGAGGGAUGAAAGCUGGGGGGAGCAAACCGG